rnacentral:rRNA from 1 species
UACAGAGGGUGCGAGCGUUGUCCGGAAUCACUGGGCGUAAAGGGCGCGUAGGUGGCAGGGUAAGCGUGCGGUGAAAGCCCGGAGCUCAACUCCGGGUCGGCCGUGCGAACUGCUUUGCUCGAGCACUGUAGAGGCAGGUGGAAUUCCGGGUGUAGCGGUGGAAUGCGUAGAGAUCCGGAAGAACACCGGUGGCGAAGGCGGCCUGCUGG